rnacentral:rRNA from 1 species
UACGAAGGGGGCUAGCGUUGUUCGGAAUUACUGGGCGUAAAGCGCGUGUAGGCGGGUCCUUAAGUCAGUGGUGAAAUCUCCGGGCUCAACCCGGAAACUGCCAUUGAUACUAAUGGUCUUGAAUUUUGUUGAGGUAGGCGGAAUAAGUCAUGUAGCGGUGAAAUGCAUAGAUAUGACUUAGAACACCAAUUGCGAAGGCAGCUUGCUAAACAAAUAUUGACGCUGAGGCACGAAAGCGUGGGGAUCAAACAGG